AUUAACACAAAUUGCAUUUAUUUAGGAUGCGGUGGAAUACUAAUUUUUAACAUAUAUGCAAGAUCUGCAAUACCAUCGCCAACACAAACAUCUAAUAUCAAAAGCCCAGUCUAACAAUAAAUAUAAAGUAUACCAAUGACUGCCCUCACAAUCACACUUUAUUUCAAUUACACACCGAAAUUAAGACAACAUACCAAAAACAACUAUUUUUCUUCAACUUCCUCGUCCUUCUCAUCCUCGCUCCAACAACAUUUCAGGAUUGACCUUGGAGACGCACAUCCUUUGCUUCUUACAAAACUCUCAUAGAUGAUUGUUCCACCCUUCCCAAGCUCUUCAUGGUUCCUCCCUCCACUGCUAUAUCCCUUCACAUCCAGAGCUAACUUCUUUCCCAGUUCAUCGUGUAAAACUUCAGAAUGCAAUGCAAUGGAGAACUCAGUUGGUUCAAAGCA
rnacentral:misc_RNA from 1 species